rnacentral:lncRNA from 1 species
CCCAUUCAGCAUAGCUUUGAGGGUGUUCUUUGCUCUUGGAUUUCUAAUUCUUUUAAUUGUGAUGUUGGGUAGUUAACUUGAGAUCUCAAUUUUGUUUUUGAGAUGGAGUGUUGUUCUCUCAACCAGGCUGGAGUGCAGUGGUGUGAUAUGGGCUCACUGCAACAUUUAUCUCCUGGGUUCAAGCAGUUCUCCUGCCUCAGCCUCCUGAGUACCUGGGAUUACAGAUGAAGAAGAUGAGACUCAGAGCAAUUCAUAAGUUGCCCAAGGUCAGAGAGCAAUGACCCUAUCAGAGCAUGCUGUACACCUCUUGCCAUAUUCAGAGUACUUCCCUAUAAGCCACAACAUUUUCCUCUCCUCCUCUGGAUGUUAAGAACAAUAUCCCAGGACCGGCCUACAACCCCAGUCACAUCGUGAGUAAUGUCCUCUAUAAUCCUCUAGUUAUUAGAAACAAUAUCACGGGGGGCUUGUGCGGUCUCUCAGAUACUUGCAGUAAUAUCUUUUAAGUUUUUGAAUAUUAGAAACGAUACUAAAGUGGUGGUGUAUACUACAUUCGAUAUUCAGGGUAUGGUAAUCCUUUGUCUUUCGGACAUGAUUCACUACAUCACAGAAGCAUUUUCCUUUGCCUGUGAUAUUGGAACCAUCGCAGAGGGUACACUUGCUCUCACAAGGAGAGUAAUACCUACUUAGAAUAUGAUGGAUAAUAUCACGAAAUGGAGGCACAUAUGUGUAUACCCACUUUGAUAUUGGAAGUAAU